AUGGUGGAGACAAGAAAACAUAUUGUCUAUCCCUUGGUUUGUCGACUUUUGAAGCUAGCACUAGUAUUGCCUGUUGCCACUGCUACAGUUGAGAGAUCUUUUUCAGCUAUGAGAAUUGUAAAGACAUAUUUGCGCAAUCGUCUUGGUGACGACGCCUUGAAGUGCGACCUUAUUUUUUAUGUGGAGAAAACCGAAAUGAGGAAGGUUACUAAUGAUGCGGUAAUUGAUCGCUUUGAAGCCAUGAAAAAACGUCGGAAACCAUUUUAG
rnacentral:rRNA from 1 species